GGAGCCCUAAGGAUCUAUUCCUUGCGUGAUCAACAAGGAUCAAAAUCAUCCGAGGAGAGCAGAGGUUGCAUGGGUGAAACUCCGGCCUUGAGUUGGUAGAUAUGAGAUUUAGGGUUAAGAUCGAGGAUGAUAUGAAGGAAGGGGGAAUUAGCCAUAAUGAUCUUUUCUAAUUCCUUGCAUGAACAAGGAUAAAAUCCUCCGAAGAGAGGAGAGGAGAAGAGAGGAGAGCUUCGUCACAAAGAGAAGCUAGUGGGUCGAACUCAUUGGGGUAUGAAUUAAGUGUCAACUGGAUUCAAUCUUAUGACUUGUUAGAUAUAGUUAGUUAAGUAGUUUUUUGUAUUCCUAUAAAUAAUAACAUGUAUCAUGUAUGACUUAACUUUUGG
rnacentral:lncRNA from 1 species